GCUCAAACUGUUGCACAUCCACCCUUCUUUAUUUCCUAUGGAGAGACAUACAAUCUUUACCUUUAUUGAUUUUUUUGGGAAGAGGCUUUGGGAAUAGGUCUGGAUCUUAACAAAACAGGACUGCAUAGUGCCUUCAUGGCCCGGGGCAUAAAGAGAAAGACAGGCCUGGGCUCGCUGUAAGGAGAGGCCAGGUUGCAGAGUGUAUAUCUUACACCCAAACACUUACCCACACACUGAGCAAAUUUGCCUAUUAAUAUUAUACAAGACACCAGCCUCACUGCUUUUUUAAAAGACUUAGAUCUUCUAUUAAAUAUUUUCAUAAGAACAAAUGUUUAUGCCUUUGAAUGCUCUUUACACCUGUUUUGUUUUUUUGUUUUUUUAUUUGAAGCAAGAUUUGCCUUUUACUUUAACAGGGUCUAAGUUGCCGUCUGAAAAACUGCGUUUAAAAAAUGGCUGAUGUUGCAAUUCUACAGUUUUCUAUAGAUUCUAUCCUUCAUUCCACCGGAGUCUGUGUCUUUAAGGAAUCAGAUUUCAGUGGUGUGAAGCGUAGAAGACAUGGAGUCAUCACACAUACCUUUCUGAAAAAUAAAAUAAAAUCACAGGAGAAACUGGACAACUGUGCAAAACGAAGGUGUUGAGAAUCAACAAGGAUGCAUGUCUUUAUGUUACAGUUAUUGUUUUUGACUCAGUAUUCACAGCCAUUUCUUUGUAGUUUGUGUGUGGGUGUGUGUAUUUAGUUUCAACUACUGCUCUGAGCACUUGGAGUAGGCUAAAUGUAUCCUUCCCUGACCUUGUGCCCUCCAUCUUUGUGCAGAGCUUUUAACUCCAUAACUUCCCUAUUUUCAUCCUCCCCAUAAAGCAAUUUGCCUUACAUGUGUUCUAUAACGCACAGCAUCAAACUGUUUCUGGGAAAAAACUGCAGACAAGUGGCAAAUAAAAGACAAACACAUGCACACACUUACACAGACUCAGUUACACACUCUGUUUACAGGAGCUUUCAUGUGUACCUUUAAUAGUUUUAUAUGUUGAGUUUAGUUCAAUCAAUAAUCCAUGUGGAUUGCAUGUUUGGAUUGCAUCAUUUUCAUCAAUAAAAUGCAAAUAAACAGA